UGUCAAGGAACUCACACAUUUCCGGAAGA
rnacentral:piRNA from 1 species